rnacentral:rRNA from 1 species
GCGAAACUCAAAGAAGUAAGUCUCAGUUCGGAUUGAAGGCUGAAAUUCGCCUUCAUGAAGCCGGAAUUGCCAGUAAUGGCAGGUCAGCAUACUGCCGUGAAUACGUUCCCGGGCCUUGUACACACCGCCCGUCACACCAUGAGAGUUGGGAAUACCCGAAGCCUGUGAGCUAACAUUAAGAGGCAGCAGUCGAAGGUAGAAUCAAUGAUUGGGGUGAAGUCGUAACAAGGUAUC